AUUGAACGCUGGCGGCAGGCCUAACACAUGCAAGUCGAACGCAGUUACGAACGGGUGAGUAACGCGUAGGUAACUGCCUCAUAGCGGGGGAUAACUAUUGGAAACGAUAGCUAAUACCGCAUCCUGUGAGAUGGACCUGCGUUGUAUUGGCUAGUUGGUGAGGUAAAGGCUCACCAAGGCGACGAUACAUAGCCGACCUGAGAGGGUGAUCGGCCAAACUGGGACUGAGAAAAUGGCCAGACUCCUACGGGAGGCAGCAGGAGGGAAUCGUCGGCAAUGGACGGAAGUCUGACCGAGGAACGCCGCGUGAGGGAAGAAGGGUUUCGGAUCGGAAAGCUCUGUUGGGAGGGAAGCGGUAACUAACGAGAAAGGAACGGCUAACUACGUGCCAGCAGCCGCGGUAAUAC
rnacentral:rRNA from 1 species